rnacentral:rRNA from 1 species
UAAUACAUAAGUAAACCGCCCUAGACAGGGGGAGUAACUAUUGGAAACGAUAGCUAAGACCGCAUAGGUACGGACACUGCAUGGUGACCGUAUUAAAAGUGCCUCAAAGCACUGGUAGAGGAUGGACUUAUGGCGCAUUAGCUGGUUGGCGGGGUAACGGCCCACCAAGGCGACGAUGCGUAGCCGACCUGAGAGAGUGACCGGCCACACUGGGACUGAGACACGGCCCAG